UAGGAUGGCUUGGGAUUGACUCACCCU
rnacentral:piRNA from 1 species